UAAUUGAACCAAUUGAUACGGUAAGUUGGUCCUCUUAGGAUGCUACGUUCUUAUUGCUAUACAUUUCUUUAUGAAGUGCAAAAAAUAAAACCAAUUAAUUAUAGCUUUUGACUGGAAAAGAAAGUAAUGUGGCAUUCUUCUGCCAAAAUAAAGCAGCUUACAUGUGUGGAUCCUUGCUAUAUUUCUUCAAUCUUGUAGAAGAAAAGUUUGUAGAAGUGAGAAUUUAUUUGAUUUGUCCCUUCCAUUGUAAGUUCUGCAAAUGACUGCAUUGUAUGCCAUCCUGUUAACUUGCAUGCAAAUGUGGCUUUUAUUUGUCCAGAAAUGGAUUCGUUUAUAUAAUUGCCAUGUGCGUUGUGAUACUGGAAGUGCCAACUCUCUUAUGUUGGAGCCGUCUAGGAAGUCAAGUUAGCUUGCAAAAUGUACUUCUCAUCUCUCAAGCCGAUGCAACUUAAGAUGCCCUAUAGUUUUUAAUUAUAUUCCCACGUUGCAGUCAGUACCCAAAGGAAUGAUAACUGCACAAGUUUUUACAACAACUUGACAAAGCUGUUGAUACUUCACUCUUAGGUUCAGGAGAUUGAUAUGUCUUUGAUGAGCUAUGACCGUCAAAGAAAAAUAAGGCGGAAUUAAAUCAACUAUUUGAUUUUAUUAUAUUCCAUGGUAUGAUAAAAGGCCUCAUUCUUAGCAACUGCUGCAGGAACUAAAUCGGCUAUUUGAUUUUAUUAAAAUCUAUGCUUUAUAGAAGACCUCAUUGUUAGCAACUGCUGCAGGAACUAAAUCGGCUAUUUGAUUUUAUUAAAAUCUAUGCUUUAUAGAAGACCUCAUUG
rnacentral:misc_RNA from 1 species